GCAGCCGCAGCAGCAGGAAGCCAGCAAGGCCCGAAGCGUCCAGGGACCUGAGAGGCUCCCUUGAGAGGGCUCCAGAGGUGGGAGAUACCUGGGGGGAAGGGAGGAGGCUGAAGUGGAAAUUGGGAGAGAAGAGAGGAGGAGAGGGAAGGGAAAGAGAGAGGAGAGGAAGGAAAGAGCGGCAGAGGCAGUGUGCUGCAGAUCCCCGCAGUGCCUUUGAGACACUGGCAGAAUGUUCAUCCCCACCUGUAUACAUGACCUGGAAAUUGUGUCAUUACAAAACUAACAUUUAUCAUAAUGCAGCAAAAGUCCUCAGGAGUCUCUCAGGUCAAAUGCCGCCUUCAACAGCUCUGCUGACUCCUUGACCCCCAGUAAAAGCCUCUUAUAGGAGGAAGGGUUUGGGGUUCUGUGGUUUGAGUGUAGCUUAAAUUCCUCUCAAAAGUUUCUGUGUUUGAGGCUUGGUCUUCAUUGUGGCUCUGUCAGAGGUCCUGGGGUCUUUAAGAUUCAGAGCUAGUGCCGGG
rnacentral:lncRNA from 1 species